rnacentral:rRNA from 1 species
UACGUAGGUGGCAAGCGUUGUCCGGAAUUAUUGGGCGUAAAGCGCGCGCAGGCGGUCCUUUAAGUCUGAUGUGAAAGCCCACGGCUCAACCGUGGAGGGUCAUUGGAAACUGGGGGACUUGAGUGCAGAAGAGGAAAGUGGAAUUCCAUGUGUAGCGGUGAAAUGCGUAGAGAUGUGGAGGAACACCAGUGGCGAAGGCGACUUUCUGGUCUGUAACUGACGCUGAGGCGCGAAAGCGUGGGGAGCAAACAGG